rnacentral:rRNA from 1 species
UACGUGAGGGUGCGAGCGUUGUCCGGAAUUACUGGGCGUAAAGGGCGCGUAGGCGGGAUGGCAAGUCGGUCGUGAAAUCCCGUCGGCUCAACCGAGGAACGUCGAUCGAUACUGCUGUUCUUGAGGAUUGCAGAGGAGACUGGAAUUCCCGGUGUAGCGGUGAAAUGUGUAGAGAUCGGGAGGAACACCGGUGGCGAAGGCGGCUGACUGGUCCGGUUCUGACGCUGAGGCGCGAAAGCGUGGGGAGCAAACAGG